GAUGAACGCUAGCUACAGGCUUAACACAUGCAAGUCGAGGGGCAGCACGGAGAUAGCUUGCUAUCUUGGGUGGCGACCGGCGCACGGGUGAGUAACGCGUAUCCAACCUGCCCAUUACUCUGGGAUAGCCUUGCGAAAGUAAGAUUAAUACCUGAUGUUGUUAAAAACCCGCAUGAGUUUUUAACCAAAGAUUUAUUGGUAAUGGAUGGGGAUGCGUGACAUUAGGUAGUAGGUGAGGUAACGGCUCACCUAGCCGACGAUGUCUAGGGGUUCUGAGAGGAAGGUCCCCCACACUGGAACUGAGACACGGUCCAGACUCCUACGGGAGGCAGCAGUGAGGAAUAUUGGUCAAUGGACGAGAGUCUGAACCAGCCAAGUAGCGUGCAGGAUGACGGCCCUCUGGGUUGUAAACUGCUUUUAGUUGGGAAUAAAAAGAGGGACGUGUCCCUAAUUGUAUGUACCAUCAGAAAAAGGACCGGCUAAUUCCGUG
rnacentral:rRNA from 1 species